rnacentral:lncRNA from 10 species
AGGCCAGAGGUCCUGUCUGCCUUGCUCAUCAUGUUGUCCCCAGGACAGAACGCUCGGGAGGCGCUGGCUGACCCACUGUCUCUCUUGCCGACGUUUCUUUCCUGUUUUCUGCUCGCACAUUGUUGGAUAAGGAAAUUCUCUCCAUAAGAAAAGAGCGUUCACUCCUUGCAAGGUGAGAAACUUCUCGCGGCCUCUGCCCUGCCUGCUCUCUGACACUGAGAUGGGGUGCACUGGGGUGCCCUGUCUGGUCCAGGCUGUCAGGUCUGGUGGACACUAUCUUGGGUGGGCUCCUCUGGCCCUCGCUGGGGAGGGGUUUGAUGGCGAUCUGCAGU